ACCGGGAUGGCCGAGUGGUUAAGGCGUUGGACUUAAGUUCCAAUGGACAAAAGUCCUCGUGGGUUCAAACCCCACUCCUGGUA
rnacentral:tRNA from 1 species